ACGUUUCCACUGCACUUUCUCCUUUGUUUUACGUUUGGGAGGAGGUGGCACUGAAAAUAGCAGAGUGCUUCGCGGUAGCAGGGGUUGGAGUGCAAUGGUGUGAUCUCAGCUCACUGCAACCCCUGCCUCCCAGGCUCCAGCGAUCCUCCCACCUCAGCCUCCUGAAUAGCUGGGACCACCAGUGCACUUGGCAAACCCACCCCACCCACCGCCUCCCUUGGGAAUUCAGACCUAACCAUCGCUGAGCUGAAGUACAAAUGUACUGAGGCUGGAGCCUGUGUGAACAGAACAGAAGAGGCCUUCACUCUAGUAGUGCUCACAGUCCAGCAGGUAAGACAGACUUGAAGCAAGGGACACCAGAGCUCUGAUCAGUGUGAAAUACGGAG